AGAUUGAACGCUGGCGGCGUGCCUAACACAUGCAAGUCGAGCGGUAACAGGUGUAGCAAUACAUGCUGACGAGCGGCGAACGGGUGAGUAAUGCUUUGGAAUCUUCCCAGUAGUGGGGAAUAACCAGUCGAAAGAUUGGCUAAUACCGCAUACGUCUGUAAAGGGAAAGCGGGGGCUCGUAAGACCUCGCGCUAUUGGAUGAGCCAAAGUCGGAUUAGCUAGUUGGUGGGGUAACGGCCUACCAAGGCGACAAUCCGUAGCUGGUCUGAGAGGACGACCAGCCACACCGGAACUGAGACACGGUCCGGACUCCUACGGGAGGCAGCAGUGGGGAAUAUUGGACAAUGGGGGAAACCCUGAUCCAGCGACGCCGCGUGUGUGAAGAAGGCCUGCGGGUUGUAAAGCACUUUUAGUGGGGACAAAAAAGCUACGGAUUAAUACUCUGUGGUCUUGAUUUAACCCAAAGAAAAAGCAACCGGCUAAACUCUGUGCCAGCAGCCGCGGU
rnacentral:rRNA from 1 species